AACGUAGGAGACGAACGUUAUCCGGAGUUACUGGGCGUAAAGGGCUCGUAGGCGGUUUGUCGCGUCGGGAGUGAAAACUCAGGGCUUAACCCUGAGCCUGCUUCCGAUACGGGCAGACUAGAGGUAUGCAGGGGAGAACGGAAUUCCUGGUGUAGCGGUGAAAUGCGCAGAUAUCAGGAGGAACACCGGUGGCGAAGGCGGCAUCCUGGACCGGUAUUGACGCUGAGGCGCGAAAGCUAGGGGAGCAAACGGG
rnacentral:rRNA from 1 species